AAUGGGUAGAGACACCCGUUAACUUGUCCAGUAAAAAGAGGGAUAACUCUUGAUUUAUCUUUAUUCUUUUGUAAUCAAUAAUAUAAGUGCAUCCGAAAAAUAAUGAAAAUCAAAAUACUGAAGUACUGAACAUCGGAAUACCGAAAGGUCUGGUGGAUGGUCACAAGCACUUCUCUCAGAUGACAAUUCACAUCUCUAUACCUGAAAGUUAGAUUAUGGUACAUAGAUACAUUUUAUUUCUGACACAAGUUCCUGUGUGGAUGAUGAAUACAUGACAGAGAAUACAGCCUCACAAUAAUAGCUUUUAUUUUGUAGUGUAUACUUUGGUUUGUUGUGAUAUAUUAUAUUAAUAUAUGUAUAACAGAUUUAUAUGAUUUUCAUCCAUUUGUAUAACAGUCUAUUCUACUAAUCUAAUGAUAGUGCAGUUCUAGCACUGCAUGUUGAACACUCUUCUGUAAUGAUUCGUUUUUCUAACAGAGUGGAUUUAGGUAAGUAUUUGUUGCAAAACAAUCUUGUCACAGAUUUAUUCUUCCGCAUGGGUUAACACAUAUUUUUGGUAUUCUUUAUUUGAUAUUGAUUUAUACAUUUCUCAUAACAAAAUAUUUUCAAAUUAUUUAUCUAUGUUCCUAAAAGUUAUUUUCAUGAAUAUUUAUUGAUGAAAUUAAAUAAGGAGUGUUAUACUGCACUCGAUAAUAUCCGCGUAAUUAUACCAAAUACGUUCAGUUGUCAGUCAAAAACACAAGUCACGUGGGUAGACAUGUCUGCGGCAACAUAACACCGUAAUGCCCUCACGGUCAUCCGCUGUUAAAAAUGAAAUACAUAACAAUUCACAUGUGAUACUUAUAACAAAAACAUAAUAAAUCAUAAAACAAAUAUAUAUAUAUUUAUUGCAGUGUAUCCAAUGUUCAUUAAGGUAUGUGUCACGUAAUUGAUAGCUUGUACUAAAACGAUUGUGAAAUAGAUCGUCUUGAACAUGUUGAUCUUGUAGUUGUGUAUUAGCUCUUUUACCGCAUUGGUCUAUCUAUUCGUUUAUGUCUAUUCGUCGUCACCUCCACAGUUGCUACGUCCUACAGAAGAAUUCAACUGUAAUUAACAGUUUGAAGAGUUCUAUAUAUCAGUGACAGCUGUGGAUAGUAAACCUG
rnacentral:lncRNA from 1 species